UACGGAGGGGGCUAGCGUUGUUCGGAAUUACUGGGCGUAAAGCGCACGUAGGCGGAUUGUUAAGUCGGGGGUGAAAUCCCGGGGCUCAACCCCGGAACGGCCUUCGAUACUGGCAGUCUGGAGGAUGGAAGAGGCGAGUGGAAUUCCGAGUGUAGAGGUGAAAUUCGUAGAUAUUCGGAGGAACACCAGUGGCGAAGGCGGCUCGCUGGUCCAUUUCUGACGCUGAGGUGCGAAAGCGUGGGGAGCAAACAGG
rnacentral:rRNA from 1 species